GAAUAAAAAAGAAACACGCUCUUCCCUCUUUUGCCCUCAAACACAUUCGUCCAUCAACACACAUCGAUUCUACGAUUCAUCGUCCCGUUGUUCUUUUCCCACAUCCGAACAACUCCAGCGUCGAUCAUCUCCUCUCAUCACCGACCAAAUCCGCCAACAUCUUCCCGUUGUUGACCUCGGACAACAUAGCCGCCCCCAUCUUCGACCUCACACACACACGAGUCUUCAACAAUGCCAUCGUCGCCAGUGAUGGUAUCUGCCCUCGACAGCGCUGACGAUAGCCACUGAACCGCCUUGAUACACAGGGUUUGUUUAUCUCUAAUUUUCUAAAAUCGAUUUCUGUGAAAUCUAUUCUUCUAGUCUACACAUGAAACCAUUCCCCCUAAUUUGUUAUUAGCUAUGAUACACGAUUUUGAAGUCUGAUCGGCUGCUAGGGUUGUUUGACCACUUUCAAUUUUACUGCACAGGAAUGGAAUUGAGGUGAUCUAUGAAUGAGUGGGUCGGUGGGAUGCUGAGUUUUUUGAAGAUCCAUUUUGAUGUCUAUAUUUUUCUAAUGCAUGUUUGUAAUAUUAGACAUUUUUUUGUUUUGGAAACGUUAUUAAACUAUAAUUGAAGUUUAUUUCGGAAUGAA